rnacentral:lncRNA from 1 species
CCUCCUCAAGUAACUAUCAAAAAUAUUGAUAAUAUAGUGCUCCUAAUAUUGUCAAUUCAAUCAAUAACAUUGAUGUUGAUCAAUUACAGUCGACUAACAGUCAAACAAUCACAAGACUUCAAUAUAUCAACAUUAAUUAACCUAAAAAAACAGAGUAAUCAAUACAAUCAAUUGCUCAUUAAAUAAGAAGGGUGUGAAA